rnacentral:rRNA from 1 species
GAUGAACGCUGGCGGCGUGCUUAACACAUGCAAGUCGAACGGAAAGGCCCAAGCUUGCUUGGGUACUCGAGUGGCGAACGGGUGAGUAACACGUGGGUGAUCUGCCCUGCACUUCGGGAUAAGCCUGGGAAACUGGGUCUAAUACCGGAUAGGACCACUUCUUGGAUGUUGUGGUGGAAAGUUUUUUCGGUGUGGGAUGAGCUCGCGGCCUAUCAGCUUGUUGGUGGGGUAAUGGCCUACCAAGGCGUCGACGGGUAGCCGGCCUGAGAGGGUGUACGGCCACAUUGGGACUGAGAGACGGCCCAGACUCCGACGGGAGGCAGCAGUGGGGAAUAUUGCACAAUGGGCGCAAGCCUGAUGCAGCGACGCCGCGGGGGGGAGGACGGCCUUCGGGUUGUAAACUCCUUUCGCUAGGGACGAAGCGUUUUGUGACGGUACCUGGAGAAGAAGCACCGGCUAACUACGUG